GAUGAAGAACGUAGCGAAAUGCGAUAAGUAAUGUGAAUUGCAGAAUUCAGUGAAUCAUCGAAUCUUUGAACGCACAUUGCGCCCGUCAGUAUUCUGGCGGGCAUGCCUGUUCGAGCGUCAUUACGCCCCUCAAGUCCCCUGUGGACUUGGUGUUGGGGAUCGGCGAGGCUGGUUUUCCAGCACAGCCGUCCCUUAAAUUAAUUGGCGGUCUCGCCGUGGCCCUCCUCUGCGCAGUAGUAAAACACUCGCAACAGGAGCCCGGCGCUGUCCACUGCCGUAAAACCCCCCAACUUUUUAUAGUUGACCUCGAAUCAGGUAGGACUACCCGCUGAACUUAAGCAUAUCAAUAAGCGGAGGA
rnacentral:misc_RNA from 1 species